AUUGAACGCUGGCGGCAGGCCUAACACAUGCAAGUCGAGCGGGGUUUUCGGACCUAGCGGCGGACGGGUGAGUAAUGCGUAGGAAGCUGCCCGAUAGAGGGGGAUACCAGUUGGAAACGACUGUUAAUACCGCAUAAUGUCUACGGACCAAAGUGUGGGACCUUCGGGCCACAUGCUAUCGGAUGCGCCUACGUGGGAUUAGCUAGUUGGUGAGGUAAUGGCUCACCAAGGCGACGAUCUCUAGCUGGUUCGAGAGGAUGAUCAGCCACACUGGAACUGAGACACGGUCCAGACUCCUACGGGAGGCAGCAGUGGGGAAUAUUGGACAAUGGGCGCAAGCCUGAUCCAGCCACGCCGCGUGUGUGAAGAAGGCCUUCGGGUUGUAAAGCACUUUCAGCGAGGAGGAAGGGUGGUGUGUUAAUAGCACAUCAUUUUGACGUUACUCGCAGAAGAAGCACCGGCUAACUCUGUGCCAGCCGCCGCGGUAAAAC
rnacentral:rRNA from 1 species